GCAGCCGCGGUAAUACGUAGGGGGCAAGCGUUGUCCGGAAUGAUUGGGCGUAAAGGGCGCGUAGGCGGCCUGUUAAGUCUGAAGUGAAACUCCCGCUUUUAAGGUGGGAACUGCUUUGGAUACUGAUGGGCUUGAGUGCAGGAGAGGUAAGCGGAAUUCCCGGUGUAGCGGUGAAAUGCGUAGAGAUCGGGAGGAACACCAGUGGCGAAGGCGGCUUACUGGACUGUAACUGACGCUGAGGCGCGAAAGUGUGGGGAGCAAACAGGAUUAGAUACCCC
rnacentral:rRNA from 1 species